rnacentral:rRNA from 1 species
CCUACGGGGGGCAGCAGUGAGGAAUAUUGGUCAAUGGGCGGGAGCCUGAACCAGCCAAGUAGCGUGAAGGAUGACUGCCCUACGGGUUGUAAACUUCUUUUAUAUGGGAAUAACAUGCUCCACGUGUGGGAUUUUGUAUGUACCAUAUGAAUAAGGAUCGGCUAACUCCGUGCCAGCAGCCGCGGUAAUACGGAGGAUCCGAGCGUUAUCCGGAUUUAUUGGGUUUAAAGGGAGCGUAGGUGGGUUGUUAAGUCAGUUGUGAAAGGUUGCGGCUCAACCGUAAAAUUGCAGUUGAAACUGGCAGUCUUGAGUACAGUAGAGGUAGGCGGAAUUCGUGGUGUAGCGGUGAAAUGCUUAGAUAUCACGAAGAACUCCGAUUGCGAAGGCAGCUCACUGGACUGCAACUGACACUGAGGCUCGAAAGUGUGGGUAUCAAACAGGAUUAGAUACCCUUGUAGUC